CAGUAGCCGCGGGAAUACGAAGGGGGCUAGCGUUGUUCGGAAUUACUGGGCGUAAAGCGCACGUAGGCGGAUAUUUAAGUCAGGGGUGAAAUCCCAAGGCUCAACCUUGGAACUGCCUUUGAUACUGUUUGUCUUGAGCUCAAGAGAGGUAAGUGGAACUGCGAGUGUAGAGGUGAAAUUCGUAGAUAUUCGCAAGAACACCAGUGGUGAAGGCGGCUUACUGGCUCGAAACUGACGCUGAGGCGCGAAAGCGUGGGGAGCAAACAGGAUUAGAUACCCCCGUAGUCCCUGUCUCUUAUAC
rnacentral:rRNA from 1 species